rnacentral:rRNA from 1 species
GACGAACGCUGGCGGCGUGCCUAAUACAUGCAAGUCGAACGAGAGCAACCGGUGCUUGCACUGGUCAAUCUAGUGGCGAACGGGUGAGUAACACGUGGGUAACCUGCCCAUCAGAGGGGGAUAACAUCCGGAAACGGAUGCUAAAACCGCAUAGGUCUUCGAACCGCAUGGUUUGAAGAGGAAAAGAGGCGCAAGCUUCUGCUGAUGGAUGGACCCGCGGUGCAUUAGCUAGUUGGUGAGGUAACGGCUCACCAAGGCCGUGAUGCAUAGCCGACCUGAGAGGGUGAUCGGCCACAUUGGGACUGAGACACGGCCCAAACUCCUACGGGAGGCAGCAGUAGGGAAUCUUCCGCAAUGGACGCAAGUCUGACGGAGCAACGCCGCGUGAGUGAAGAAGGUUUUCGGAUCGUAAAACUCUGUUGUUAGAGAAGAACAAGUACUAGAGUAACUGUUAGCGCCUUGACGGUAUCUAACCAGAAAGCCACGGCUAACUACGUG